UUCAGUAUUGAUUAAAUUGUGGCAUCAAUGAAUUAUCUAGUCAUUUCAUUUUUUUUCCAGGUAUAACAAGCCCUUACUCAACACCCAAAGGAAAUCGGCAAGUCCGAUUUUCAAUAACACCGAGAAUGACAGCUCCAUUGUGUGAAGAAUAUAGAAAUCCUACAUCCCCCUCUCAAUGUUCCGAUAAUUGCUUCGCAACGACAGCCUAUAGUUAAACCUAUUUUUCUAAAUAUCAAGUUCCGACCACAGAAUUCACUUAAUAUACGUCCAUCAGUAACCCCACAACAUCAGCUACUAAUAAUCGUGUCAAACGUUCUAGUUCUGCCAUCUUACUAUUAACGGAAAAUAACAAUAAUCUAAACCGUGAAUUCAUCUCCAUUGAAACCAAUCAUUUUGAGGUUAUCACUGAAGAUAUACUGAUCAAUCCACAGUUAUUACAAACGUCGUCGCCGAAUGAUAAUCUAGCAUUGUUAAAUGUGAUGAAUGACAAUGAUGACGCGCAACUGAAUUGUGAAGAAAACAGUACUAAUGAAGAAAGUAGUCAAAAGGAGGACGAAGAGGAAGAAUUUCCACCCUUUCAUAACAACAACGAAACUCUAAAUCUUGUAAAUGAGCAAGACGAAAACAGCCACGUAUAUGUAAAUAUUGAUGUAACUGAGAACGCAAGAGAUAACGAUAUCAGUGAAUCUGAUAUCGUUCUCGCUUCGCUCAGGCGUAAACGCCACACGAGACAAGAAUCUACUUUCCCGCACUUGUAAUGUACUAUUAAGAUAUCUUUCUGUAGACAUCUUUGAAGUGAACUUUAAAUUGAUGACUAAGAUUUCAUAAACAAAUUUUUUUUAAAAACUCCUCUCUAAUAUAACAUUAUGUUAUCUUUACUACUUGACGUUAAGAUAUCUUCAAAAUGGAUAGUUCAAGUCAACAUUCCAGACAACUCAUGUUUGCCUGGGUAACCAAGCCUGAUAAAUGACGGAUGGAUCUCUAACAAAGCAUUCGCUCAUUAUUCAUAAAAAUCUCUUUUCAUGAAUUCAUCCAACAAAAUAACCAACCAAGGUA